UGGGGAAUAUUGGACAAUGGGCGCAAGCCUGAUCCAGCCAUGCCGCGUGUGUGAAGAAGGCCUUUUGGUUGUAAAGCACUUUAAGCGAGGAGGAGGCUACUUGGAUUAAUACUCUAGGAUAGUGGACGUUACUCGCAGAAUAAGCACCGGCUAACUCUGUGCCAGCAGCCGCGGUAAUACAGAGGGUGCGAGCGUUAAUCGGAUUUACUGGGCGUAAAGCGUGCGUAGGCGGCUUUUUAAGUCGGAUGUGAAAUCCCUGAGCUUAACUUAGGAAUUGCAGUCGAUACUGGGAAGCUAGAGUAUGGGAGAGGAUGGUAGAAUUCCAGGUGUAGCGGUGAAAUGCGUAGAGAUCUGGAGGAAUACCGAUGGCGAAGGCAGCCAUCUGGCCUAAUACUGACGCUGAGGUACGAAAGCAUGGGGAGCAAACAGG
rnacentral:rRNA from 1 species